rnacentral:sRNA from 1 species
UGCGUAAUGGCGGUGGCUGGCCUGACGA